UACGUAGGGUGCGAGCGUUGUCCGGAAUUAUUGGGCGUAAAGGGCUCGUAGGCGGUUUGUCGCGUCAGGAGUGAAAACUCAGGGCUUAACCCUGAGCCUGCUUCCGAUACGGGCAGACUAGAGUGCGGUAGGGGAGACUGGAAUUCCUGGUGUAGCGGUGAAAUGCGCAGAUAUCAGGAGGAACACCGGUGGCGAAGGCGGGUCUCUGGGCCGUAACUGACGCUGAGGAGCGAAAGCGUGGGGAGCAAACAGG
rnacentral:rRNA from 1 species